rnacentral:lncRNA from 1 species
GAGGUUUCUAAAUAGCCCUUUAGCUAAGUUGGAAAUGUGAGAUUGAUAUUUUUUGUUAACGGAGUAGCAGCACUGCAUUGUCUUGAGGACGGAAUCUAUUUAAAACGUUAAAAUUGGCCUAACUAACUAAAUUUAAUUACAGAUUCUGUUUGAAAGCAAUAUUUAAAAUAACGCUAUUAACAGACACAAACAAAUCACAGCAAAGAUUUGCCAGUUUGAAAAUGAGGUCAUUAGUUAUACAAUCACAUGCAUGUCGUCAUUAAUACUGCAAAAUGGUCCAAGGCACGACAAAGGAGGACAUGUGAUACUUGUGAGACCUGUUGUUGACCUGAAUGUUGAAAUGGGUAUUGUCAGAAGGCAUAUAAAAGAGGAGGAUAGCUCAGAGAUCACAAUCUGUAAAGGAAAGGUGAAAAAGAUGGCAUCCUCAAUUUUCAUAUUGGGUGCACUUUUAGGAUUAAUGUGUGUUCAAUCUGUCCAAGCACUGACAUGUCUAAACUGUACAAGCAUCUCUGAAGAACAGCCAAGCUGCCCUGAGGAUGAUAUUCAACCGGUGAUGUGUGAAGGACGGUUCACCCAUUGUAUUCGGAUUGUAUUGAACAAGCCAGCCUUCGGUGAAAUUCGAAGAUGUGCUACUACAAAGGAAUGUGAGGCUUCAGUUCCCGACAUUGUUGAACGCUCGUGCUGCAAUGAUAAGGACAAUUGUAAUGUUGCAUCUAGUUGAUACAAAUAGAUGACAGUCUAUGCCAUAUAAAUGCAUUUUAGGAAUAUUGUAUAAUCUAUUAUUGCUUUCAAUUUAUUUAUUUAUUGAUCGAUUGGCAGAUUGGUCAAUUUAUAAUAAAUAAAUAAUCCUCAUAAUCAGUCUUCAAUGAUAUCUCGGCAAAGAAAAUAACUUCUGGUUCUCAUAAUUUACGGAAUUAAAGGAAUUCCUGUGUUGCAAGCAUCAGGAGAGCAAAGGCUGAUUAUU